GUAAGCAGAGGGGACUGACGGAUAUGGAGGACGAGCUUGUUUCGGUCAGCCACUUAGUACUUUUACCGAGUGGAAAACGGCGUCAUCUAGUGGCAAAAAAUGGGUAUUCGAUUGAAUGGCCGAGAAGAGGAAUUGUGUCGGAAUAAUAGCUAGGGAACCGGAUCCGAUUCCAUCCGAGCGGCUUUCGGUCGGUCCCACCCACCACCAGAGUCAGACGGUGAAAUUGGCAUCACCCCAUAUCAUUCGGCAUUAGGCGGAACAGUUAAAAAAUGAAAAGAACUGAGCGUGGAAUUAUUUAGAAACGAUCGGAUUCCCGUGGUCAGGCUAAGAUUUUAGGUGCCGGACGUUACCGGUGAAUAUAACUAGUACGAUUGACCGAGAUCGAAGCUGAAUGAAAAAUUGGUUAGAAAGGAAUUACUCGGAGCGGUAGAGACGGCCCGGACCCGCGUGGUUCCAUCGAUACGGUUUUAUCCGUUUCGUCCGAGGGGGCAAAGGAAGACUUAUGCGGGCCUUGUCGGACGGAUAGUCAGGUGACGGUGUCGGCAAUUAACUGUAAUUUUUCGGAAAUACAAUAAUCGUGGUUAUGGUCGAUGAACCCGCCCUAAAACCUUUAGGUCACAUCCGCCGUUACGGCCUAGAAGCCGCUUAAUUAUAGGUGCACGGUUUAAGAGCCUCGAACGAUGUGGCUGGCGGACUAUUAAACCCAAAACCAAUCUACGCGUUUACGGAAUUUGGUGAACUGGAUUUUAAUUUCUGGCUUAACCCAAUUCGUUUCGGUUUAAAUUAGGCGUUGGAGUUUUUGUCGGGAACCACCGACUUCCAGCUUGGAAAUUCCGAGUUCUUUCAAAUUCAUUCUUUGUUGGGAUGGAGGCGACGUCGGAGUCUUCUCCGAUUUCCGGGAAUGGAGCUUUUAAUGGAAAAUUCAUUUCCCUUCGGUGAUAUCUUUACCGCCUGCCGAUGGAAACUAAUCCACCCACCUACCGACACAACUAAUUUAAUUUUAAGUAAUUGCCGGGUUACUACCUAGAAAGAAGUUGGGCUACUCUGCUAUACUGUACUUAGAAUACAUUGCUUAUAAUUAUAUACUUAAUAAAAGUCGCGCGCGAUUGUCAACGUCGGACCCCAACACCGGUUUUCCAGCCUUUCCUAACGGAUGGGCUACCGAGUUUCCACUCUUAAAUCAACUGGAAGAUUUGGGGCUGACCGCGGUCGACGACUCCGAUGAGUCGGCCCGCUAUGGCCCAAUGGCGGUUUAUCCGACGGCCCGAUCGACUCGAUGCCUUUGAUUCCGUCCACUCCGGCUAUCAGCCAGUCGACGUACUACUCGGCGGGGAAAGAAACUAUUAUAGCCGUCGAGGUUAACGCUUGUCCCCGUCCCUUAUCCGUCGACUGGCUACGGUAGAGGCUGAAUGUUGUUUGGCGCGCGCUGGUGGCUGGGCCCAGGCCGACGCGCGCUGAAAUCAGAAUCAUUCAUUCUGGACUGACAGCCGAUAAGGUUCUCCCGGCUGGCAGUUAUCGAGGACCACUCGUCGCUAUCGGUUUCCCGUUGCCGGUUCCGGACGUGGCCGGAACGAUAGGCCGGGCCGAUGGAGAGACGGAUGUCGACCGAGUUUCCGCCGUCGACGUUACAGGUCUGGGGCCACACAACAAGUUGUCGCCGUCGACGCUGCUCGUCAAUCUUCUUUCCUCGGUUCCGUAUCGAUCCGUCUGUCGCCACGCAUCCGUUCCUUUCGUUUCCUUUCCAACAGAUUACCGAACCCGACUCUACCUUUUCUGAGAAAAUUUCCUCCCGGCGCUGUCCGUCCACCUCUCGGUUCGCUUCGGCGCCUCUUAACUCCUUCCUCUAUUUACCUCUACCUAUUUCUCUACCACUAGCCCGGCUUCCAGCCUCUCCGUCUUACCUACUCCCAGUAGUUACGGCCGUAAAGUAGCCGACGAAAAAAUUUCCUCACAUUUACUUUACUACGAAGUGCUAACCCGGAUUUCGGUCCGUUUUUUUUCCAGUCCUAGCCACCUUUAAGCUUAUCUAGCGCGCCUGGGCUGGUACCGAAAAAUAUGUUAUCCCAGAAACUUGUUUCAGCAUAAGGUGCCAUGCGGCUAACCCUAGUAAUUCUUUCGUCUCCUAUCCGACUGACGGUAUUGCGGCUUUUCCUGGGAACGGAUAACCGGAAUCGAGUUUACUGGUCGCGGCCUCUGGUGGCCGAGAUGGGCUAGCCGGCCGUUGCCGUCCAGAGCACCCUCUUCCCAUCUGUCCGGACAGGAGUAAAGUUAGAGGCUGGCAACUGCUUAAUUGUUGUCAAUGGGUGAAGGUGGUAAAAUUGAUAUGUAGCCACUAUCCGUUACUUAGUCGGGCUGGUUUUCGUUUGUGUUUACCGUUGGCUUUUUCGAGAGUAGAAGGAAAAGAACAAGUAACUGGUGUUUACAGUUGGACCUAUUCUUCUUUCUAGUCUAUUCCGCCCAUCUUUAGCAGCGCGCCGAUAAUUUUCCUAUUCGUUUACCGGUGAGUCUUUGUUCUGGUAUUUGAAAAAUCGACUACUUGUCCAAUGUGACUGGUUACCCGGCCUGUCCAGUGGACAGCCCCAUUCGAGCCUAGUUGAUCGGCGGCCGAUUCGGCCAAAACCCCGAGCAAUGUUUUCCGCCAAAGCCCACCACGACUCCCGACUUUUCCGUUACAUGACAAAACAACCGACUGCGGUUUUAGUCGAUUCCAUCGACCUUCCCGACUACGCGUCGUUUUCCUUUGAUGUAAAUGGAUGCUGUCCCGCAAGAUAUUUUCGUUUAAUCCGUGGCGCGGAUUCGACCGGCCGUACUGCUAUCCUCUUUGUGAAAAACACUUUUUUUUUACUUAGACCCGAUUCGAGAGACCAGUUAUUUACCUCGACAAUUAUGGCCGCAGCCCAAACAGCGCGCUGUCCAGUCUAAAUAAUCAGAGGAGAAUAGGCGGAAAGAUGGCUACUAAACCGGGAAGGACCGCAUCGCGCCGCGCUAUGGUUCGCCCGCGCGGUACUAUCGGAUAAACACGCGCCCCUCUUUUGGUGCCGAUACUUCAUCGACUAUAACGCUACGUUUCUUUGGAGAUUUUUGACCAGAGAAUCGAUGGGAAAAACCUCAUUUCCGAUCGAAGACGGAAGGCUUUUAAUUCAUCCGUAAUUAGUUGGUCGCGGGGAUAGAUGUCACCAGAUUUGAAACGCUAACAAUCGCUGGUUGUUUAAAGACCCCUCCAUUUCUUAGCUAUAGAUUGUUUUCGCCUCCUUGUUCGCGCCAUUGUCUUUCCGUCCGGAAAGACGGUGGCCCCGACCGGGAAGGUUGUGUCCGAUGACCGCGUUUCUUUCCGACAGCCGGUAUUAGUUGGAUGCUGGGCGUCUCUACUCGUCGGUCACAUGUGGAAAUGGAGGCGACGGACCGUACCGGCAGCCAUCCGUGUAUCAUUAGCCAGCGGGAGAGACAGAUGGGAUUGGAUGCUCGGUCCACUUCUCUCCGACGCUUUUCUUUUAUAUCACUGCCACAUCUAUCAUCGACGUCUGACAGCUCGGCUGACCCGUCGUCCCGAUUUACGUCGUACGUAAUUAGAUGUAGUCGACUGGAUCCACCGUCGCCCCUACCACCCAACUGCCCUCUUUACCACUUUCCUUUUCGGCUCCCACCCGGAUACAUCCGAUUGGCCCCAAUAUGGAGCUACAUUCGUCAGUAUACGUAACGGUGCUGGGGCGGCCGCUAUUCUCUUUAGCGGUUUUCCCCUCACCAUCGCCUUAGCUAGGCUGUUUUGGUGGUUUCUAUGUGGCUCUCCGUCGGCAACUUGGUAAAACGCCGCUGGCUCAAAAUUUUUAUGGUCCGCACGCUUGUUAUUGCUGGAAGAUAUUCUUAAUGGACCAGAUAGCGGAGUAGGGAAAAGGGAAGGGAAUUUGCCCGGAAUAUUAGCUGAAAAGUGUAUUUAUUCCAUCUUACAUCCAACAAUUGAAAGAAUAUUGUGGUGGCCACUCGGAAAUGCCAUUGGUACCUCUUAAAGAUAAACUUCUCUCUUUUUGUUACGCCGUACCCCACUUUCUCCUCCAUAUACCCGAAAAAUCUUUUCGGACCGGGGCCGUAAUCGUUCCAAAAGCUUUAAAAAUCGAUAGUGGUGCUAUUUAGUACCAAUAAAACUCGAUCACCGUCAUUCUGUUACCACUGACCGAUAAUUUAUUUUCUAUUGUUUCGUCAAUCGUAUCUUGGUGUUUACUUUCUGCAUUUUGCUUCCGUACUAUACAGUAAGUUGAUUGAACGCAGUAAUAAUUAUUGCCCAAAACCAAUAGUAUUCUGGUGAAUCGAUAAUUUUUUCUGCUACAAAACGAAAGUUGCCCAGUCGAUGCUACUCGAUUGCCGUUUUAGCCGGUGGGAAAAAAUGUAACUUGGCGCUGCUUAUCGAAUGAAUGACGUAUCUUAAUUCUUAUUUGCAUUUGUUGCCGAUUGGUAUAUAUCGUUUCGUUAAGCCGUUUAUAAACUCUUCUCUCGUAAUUAGUAACUGUCGGUUUGGAUGGACACCGCGGUACUUUUUGGAAAAAUUAUUAACUCGUUGGUCGGGAUCCUGGAUAGUUUCCAUCCGGUGGGACUCGGUCGAAAGUUAGUGCGUCGGAUGCUUGCCAUACACGUGGUACGCAUCCGAUCCCGACGGUCAGAAACAACCGGGUUGGUUGAAAACAAUCGGAAUUUAGACCAUCCCUACUUCUCGUUAUAGAAUUUCGGAGUUACUUCUGACCAGACUGCGUCAGACGAUGGAGAUGGACCAAACUCCUUUUCUUCCGCGUCCCAUCUUCUCCCGCUAUUAUGUCCACUUCACUCCGACCAGAAUCCGGCAGGUGACGGAAUGCGCGAAGAAAUUUCCAUUACGCAGCGUGAUCCAGCAGCGGUCUAUCAUUUGAGAGCCGGGUUCAAUACCGGGCACGUCUCCAGUUUUUCAACCAGUCUAGGCCUCCUGCUUACUUCCUCUCCUUCGACCUUCCGAUCGACACUACCAUAGUCGAUGAAUUGUAACAGUAGUUGACGGCAAAAGUAUUCCCCAUGCUAUUGGCCAGCCGAAUUCCAUACUAAACCGAAUUUUAUUGCAUCGUUGUGGCCGAACAAUAGUAGCGGUACGGCUCUAUAUAAAGCAUUAUUAUAUAAAGCAAAGUGCGAGGCCACUUCGGCAUUUAACGGGAACGUUUAAUCCAUAGGAUUAACCGAUUUUAAUUUUGGUGAGAAACGAAUCGUUUCUCUUUAAAAGAUGCUGCUUUUUCUUCUUCAGUCAUCGGCCGGAUGGACCAGCAUUCGCUUAACACCUUUCGGGAUCCGGUUCGAUUCCCAGUUCUACGCUUCCAGUGCUAUAGGUCGUAUUUGGAUUCGAACGUUGAAUGGCAUCCUUAGUCCUUCCGGUUGACUCCUUUAUGGAUGCUGCCUUAAAUACGGCGGUUUAACUUAACUAACCUAGCCUAAUCUAUAGUGGUCCGAAUUGGUAGCGUUGUAUUGGUUUUCAUUUCAGCAUUUAUUCCGCUUUGCAAUCCCAGAUUUCCGAAAGAUGGAGCAUCCCGGUGUCCGCUACCGGCCGGACGGAGCAUUCCGAGCCAACCAUACCCGUGGUGGGGCCUGCCGUUGGGUGAAGGAUGGCAUUCGUAUAUCUGGAUGUCGUCCACAACCGGUCCUCCAUGCAUUAUUUGCAUUUGCUUCUCUCGCCUUUUUCUUUUAUUAAAAUUUCACCCAUUGUCUUAUAAAAGUUUGUGACCGUGAAUUGAAUCCGAGCCAUUCGUCCGCGUUGGUAUGGCUGCACUAACCUGAAUCCACCUAACAGUUUUCUCGAUUUAUCGAUACCAAACGGUGGAAGAAAGAAAAGAUGCGUACCAUCACUCGGGUACUGGGAACAGCCGGAUUUUUUCUUAUUCCCACCGACCCAGCAGUUGUUAGAGCAUUAAUCGCGGUCCUAGUCGAUCGAUUUGUCACCGGCUAGGCGUUGAACGGAUGAGGAGAAAAAGCGCUGAUUGCCUAGUUGUUAGUAACCGGCUGGCGAUGACGUCACCGACACGUCACGCAUUACUGGGCCGGCUGCUGAAAGAGGAGAGUACCGAAUCGGCCUUAAUACCACGAAAGAGAAAGUGAAGAGGACCAGUAUCCCUUCUCUUCAAUAUUUUAGAAAUGAUUUCGUCACCGGUGAAAGAAUAUGUAUCGCGCUGGUUUUACUGCCCGAACGGUCAGCCGGAACCGAGGAGAUCGAUUAUCGAAAAUAUGUAUGUCUUCAUCUUUUAUGAAUGAGACGAGGCCGUAUCGGUGAUUUAAGUCAUCUAGCCAUUGGACUAACUCUAAAAUCAAAUGACCCGAUCAUUGGAAUGCAAAGAAAGAGGGGAAGGAUCCGACCAGAACAGUAGGUCUUUGAAAAGAGUUAAGACGCUUGUUUUUCAACGCUCAUACGCCGUUGAAAAACAACCAAUUCUGACAAACUGGAUGGUUUUCGGACCCUCCAUCCACUAAACCAGAAUUAAAAAAUACCGUUAAGAUCAGAAAAGUAUCCACCGUUGGGAUAAAGAUGUGGAUACUAUCGGAGCGGGUAGCUCCCGAUCCAAGGAAAGUAACCGGUCAUAGGUAGCUGGAGUAAUUCCAUUUAUAAUGACCCUGAUGGUACCCGGUGCCGCUAUAGGCCGUUGAUCGACAUCGAAUACGUGCCCGGUGUUGGAAGAAUACGCUGUCACUUCUCAACGAAUGCUAGCACCUAAAUCUAUCUUGCCGCUGUCCCGUGAGCCGUGUUAGUUUCUCAUAGAUUCUCGGGUGUUCCACCUAAUUCCUUUCGUUGUCUGGCUUCACCGCCAAAUAAAACAUAUCCUACCAGCUAACAAACAACCUAAUCUAAUCGGGUCUGCCUUCAUUCUUCGACUUUCUGGUUGGCGGUGAAGGUAGGACAGCCAAUGACGGGCACUAAAAGUGGUGGCCGCUACAUCUCUGGCGACUUAACUAAAACUAUUUUAACUUUAGUUAAGAGUUUCGGAUAACUUCCAGCUGGUUGUGCAUCCCUUUUAUUAGAAUAUCGGCCGUCCGAUUAGUCCAUUCGCCAUCAGUGGGCCGCUUCGUUUCUUCUCUUUCUCGUUUUUGCUUAACGCCGCUUUCCAUUAAGUGGUUAUGACGCUACGGAAUAUUCCUGUGCCAGACCACCGAGGCGGUGGGGUCAGUCAAUCGAUGAAGGACAAAAUAUAACCGCCGGGUCUGUACCUCUGCUAAACAGACUCUAUAGAUGUCAAGACCGGGAAUGUAACUAGAAACUUCCGGGGUGGAAGCGCGGCACGGUCCUACCGCCGUGAGACCUUUAAACCGAAAGCCAGCUUCCUUUUUAUAGGUCCCAUGGUCCCAGGUCUACUGGAACAAACGGUUUAAUUCGCCUCCCACACUUCUAAAUUAGUCGGGAGGAAUCUGGGGCCGAUCCGACCAGUCCCACUCGGCCUUUCAACCUUCCGAUUUACCCCGUGACGGGUGUGGACUGGUCUCCGGCGAUCUGUCGAAUGACAAAAAAUAUCCGUCACCAAACUGAAACGGUGAAACAAAAAUUAGCGUGAAAAGAAAACGGAAAGCCAGCGCUUUUUGGGGGUUGGCCGUCAUCUUUUCUCCAUUAUCGAUCGGAUUUCGUCCCAGUAGUUUGGACACGGCGGACCGCGUGACGUGUCGACGGGUAGAUCGACCGUCAUUAGGAAGUGGCGUGCUCCGGGGGCCAUACACGCGACGUUUAGUAAGGUGGCGGGAAGAUUGAUGGAAGGUGUGUGCCGCGCUAACCAUGCCAGAGUAGGGUAAAUCGAGUCUUAAUUUCCUUUCGUCUUUGGUAGGGAAGGAAUUCGGUCACCGGCUAGAAAACUUCCCCGGUGGUAGAGCAAUUAACAGACCGUCCCCGUCUUCUUCCCGGUGGGUUCUCCAAUGGUGCUAAUGGCGCGCCGCACUGCAGUGGCGACGGCCAGAGCCGUCGACGACGGAUAGCGAGUCGGAUGACCUUGAGUUGGCUGGUAGCCAAAUGGCCGUCUUCCGCUCUCCUCUGUUUGACAGACGGAUCCGGCCUCUCUCCGCUUUUUAUUUUUAGUCGGAUAAUCUGUAUAUGAUUUCGGAGCUUUUAGUCUUUCUUUCUUCCGCCUUUCUCUUCUCGGCGCUCACCUUAUUCAAGAAUGGAAUUUCUCGGAAACUUUAACUCCAACAAAGAGCGUCCCAACUUCUCCGUUAACAUCUUUUUGUGUCGGAUAUUUAAGAAAGAAAAAGACGGAAGAAGUCGAGCGAAAAAACAUUCUUUCUCGGUCACACAGACCAGAAGUGGAAAGAGACGAAUUUUUAUUCGAUCCGACGGCCUAAGUCGAUGGCCAAACCACCCGGACCAGGAAAGAACCGGUGUCACCAUAAAGAGAAACGGUCAGCCAGACCGUCUUCCUCUAUUACGCGUCAAAUCCGGGGCUACGGGAUGCGUGGUGAAUGGCCAGUAACGGAGGAGGUUGUUUUCAGUCGGAGCACCACCUCCGAUUCGGGUUCUUUCGAUAUAACGAAUAAGAAACAUGGGAUAACUAAACUUCCUGGUCAGCCGAGCAAACGAGAUUUAUCCCGGUUAAUUCUGGCGGUGAAGAAUGAUGCCCGGAUAAAUGGAUGAGCCCAGAGCUGUAUAUUAAUGCUACCGGAAAUUAUUAAAGACCGUAGGCCAGUUAUUUUUUUAAACUAGUCAUUGAUUCCUAUCCUAAGUGUGGAUGGGUUUCUAUCUGGGCUACACCAAAUGAAAUCUUUUCCUUUACAUUUCCGAGCCAUUUUUGAAGACUGUUUACUAUUGGAAAAAAACGAAAGAGAAGCUUAUUCCGAUUAACCUUUGGGGCCCGAUUUUAUAAAUUUUCUUAAACUAAAAAGUGUUUCAAUGGGUUUUCGAACAGAUUAAUCCGUCUAACGGGAAGCGGUGUCGGAGCGGUCUAGCUCUUAGCUAUUCGUCGUUUCCCACCAAAGAACCAAAACUCCGACCAAAAUCGGUAGAGGAAAGACCGAUAGUGCCAAUAUUCUCAUCAUUUUUUCAAUUAUAUUUAGGAAAAAUGGAAAGUGGCCAUUGCCAAUGUCUCUUAGUCCAACCUUCGACCGUUCCACGAACCCACCUCGCGCCGUAGUUAGACUUUCUAUCGAUGAUCGCUACUCCGUCUUAUCCCAUUUCGACCAAAUUCGCCGCAUUUUACGGUGGUCGGUGUUCGGACGGAGAGCCGAAAACUGUGGCCAUCCCCUGGUUUUUUGUUUUGAUCAACAGAUGACGCCACAUUCCGUUCAAUAAGAAUACUACGUGGCGGGUCGAAACAAGCCCUUCCAUAGGCUGCCCACUCUUGCGGAGGGAUCAGCCGGAUUGUGGAUGACGG
rnacentral:lncRNA from 1 species